UACGUAGGGGGCUAGCGUUGUCCGGAAUCAUUGGGCGUAAAGCGCGUGUAGGCGGUCCGGUAAGUCCGCUGUGAAAGUCGAGGGCUCAACCCUCGAAUGCCGGUGGAUACUGUCGGGCUAGAGUGCGGAAGAGGUGAGUGGAAUUCCGAGUGUAGAGGUGAAAUUCGUAGAUAUUCGGAGGAACACCAGUGGCGAAGGCGGCUCACUGGUCCGGUACUGACGCUGAGGUGCGAAAGCGUGGGGAGCAAACAGG
rnacentral:rRNA from 1 species